UACGGAGGGUGCAAGCGUUAUCCGGAUUCACUGGGUUUAAAGGGUGCGUAGGUGGGCAGGUAAGUCCGUGGUGAAAUCUCUGAGCUUAACUCAGAAACUGCCGUGGAUACUAUUGUCUUGAAUGUUGUGGAGGUGAGCGGAAUAUGUCAUGUAGCGGUGAAAUGCUUAGAUAUGACAUAGAACACCAAUUGCGAAGGCAGCUCACUACACAAUUAUUGACGCUGAGGCACGAAAGCGUGGGGAUCAAACAGG
rnacentral:rRNA from 1 species